GUAUGUACCUGGGAGAGGAAAUGAUCACAAAGGGGGUUUUCUCAGGGUGAUGCUGAUCCACUACACUCCAGAUGUGCUGGUACCUGCAAUUUCCCCAAAUGUGGGAAAUUUGACUGCAUACUUUGUAGUAGUGGGGGACUGUGUUUGUGGUCUCCCCUG